CAUCGAGUUUUUGAACGCAAGUUGCGCCCGAAGCCUUUGGCCGAGGGCACGUCUGCCUGGGCGUCACGC
rnacentral:rRNA from 1 species